rnacentral:lncRNA from 10 species
CAUUUAGAUUCCUAAUCAUUCCUCCAGGUACCAGGACCCCUGUGAAGAUACCCAUGGUUCAAUCAUCAGGACCUACAGAUCCUUCCAUGUUAAGGACAACACCAAUAAUACUGAGAAAGCAAACGGCAGAUUGGCAGUGUUAAAGGAUAACAACGUGCCAACAGAAUAUUAAGAAAGAAAACUUCUUUGCAAAAGUUGAUAGAGAGACUACAAAUAUCAGUCAAAUUACAAACAGACAACAGAGGACAGCAUUUGGAAACGACUUCCCGAGGCAAGCACUAUUCAGUGCCCCACUUCCCUCUCCCCAUGCCCCUUUGCAAAGAUCUAUUACAUUAAUAAAUUUCUUUAAAUGCUAAAA